rnacentral:rRNA from 1 species
GACGAACGCUGGCGGCGUGUUCAACACAUGCAAGUCGAACGAUGAAGCCCAGCUUGCUGGGUGGAUUAGUGGCGAACGGGUGAGUAACACGUGGGCAACCUGACUCAAACACUGGGAUAACUCCUCGAAAGAGGUGCAAAUAACGGAUACGAACGAGGUAGCCAUCUGCACUAGUUGGAACGCUUUUCGGCUCCGGAUGGGCCCGCGGCCUAGCAGCUUGUUGGUGAGGUAACGGCUCACCAAGGCAACAACGGGUAACCGGCCUGAGAGGGCGACCGGUCACACUGGGACUGAGAUACGGCCCAGACUCCUACGUGAGGCAGCAUUGGGAAAUAUUGCGCAAUGGGCGAAAUCCUGACGCAGCGACGCCGCGUGAGGGAUGAAGGUCUUCGGAUCGUAAAGCUCUUUCAGUAGGGACGAAGCGAAAGUGACGGUACCUAAAGAAGAAGCACCGGCUAACUACGUUCCAGCAGCCGCCGUAA